GAUGAACGCUGGCGGCGUGCCUAAUACAUGCAAGUCGAGCGAACAGACGAGGAGCUUGCUCCUCUGACGUUAGCGGCGGACGGGUGAGUAACACGUGGAUAACCUACCUAUAAGACUGGGAUAACUUCGGGAAACCGGAGCUAAUACCGGAUAAUAUAUUGAACCGCAUGGUUCAAUAGUGAAAGACGGUUUUGCUGUCACUUAUAGAUGGAUCCGCGCCGCAUUAGCUAGUUGGUAAGGUAACGGCUUACCAAGGCAACGAUGCGUAGCCGACCUGAGAGGGGGAUCGGCCACACUGGAACUGAGACCCGGUCCAGACUCCUACGGGAGACAGCAGUGGGGAAUCUUCCGCAAUGGGCGAAAGCUUGACGGAGCAACGCCGCGUGAGUGAUGAAGGGCUUCGGAUCGUAAAACUCUGUUAUUAGGGAGAAACAAUGUGUAAGUAACUAUGCACGUCUUGACGGUACCUAAUCAGAAAGCCACGGCUAACUACGUG
rnacentral:rRNA from 1 species